GUUUGAUCCUGGCUCAGGAUGAACGCUGGCGGCGUGCCUAAUACAUGCAAGUCGAACGCUUUGUGGUUCAACUGAUUUGAAGAGCUUGCUCAGAUAUGACGAUGGACAUUGCAAAGAGUGGCGAACGGGUGAGUAACACGUGGGAAACCUACCUCUUAGCAGGGGAUAACAUUUGGAAACAGAUGCUAAUACCGUAUAACAAUGACAACCGCAUGGUUGUUAUUUAAAAGAUGGUUCUGCUAUCACUAAGAGAUGGUCCCGCGGUGCAUUAGCUAGUUGGUAAGGUAAUGGCUUACCAAGGCGAUGAUGCAUAGCCGAGUUGAGAGACUGAUCGGCCACAUUGGGACUGAGACACGGCCCAUACUCCUACGGGAGGCAGCAGUAGGGAAUCUUCCACAAUGGGCGAAAGCCUGAUGGAGCAACGCCGCGUGUGUGAUGAAGGGUUUCGGCUCGUAAAACACUGUUGUAAGAGAAGAAUGACAUUGAGAGUAACUGUUCAAUGUGUGACGGUAUCUUACCAGAAAGGAACGGCUAAAUACGUGCCAGCAGCCGCGGUAAUACGUAUGUUCCAAGCGUUAUCCGGAUUUAUUGGGCGUAAAGCGAGCGCAGACGGUUAUUUAAGUCUGAAGUGAAAGCCCUCAGCUCAACUGAGGAAUUGCUUUGGAAACUGGAUGACUUGAGUGCAGUAGAGGAAAGUGGAACUCCAUGUGUAGCGGUGAAAUGCGUAGAUAUAUGGAAGAACACCAGUGGCGAAGGCGGCUUUCUGGACUGUAACUGACGUUGAGGCUCGAAAGUGUGGGUAGCAAACAGGAUUAGAUACCCUGGUAGUCCACACC
rnacentral:rRNA from 1 species